rnacentral:rRNA from 1 species
UGGGGAAUAUUGGACAAUGGGCGAAAGCCUGAUCCAGCCAUGCCGCGUGUGUGAAGAAGGUCUUCGGAUUGUAAAGCACUUUAAGUUGGGAGGAAGGGCAGUAAGCGAAUACCUUGCUGUUUUGACGUUACCGACAGAAUAAGCACCGGCUAACUCUGUGCCAGCAGCCGCGGUAAUACAGAGGGUGCAAGCGUUAAUCGGAAUUACUGGGCGUAAAGCGCGCGUAGGUGGUUCGUUAAGUUGAAUGUGAAAGCCCCGGGCUCAACCUGGGAACUGCAUCCAAGACUGGCGAGCUAGAGUAGGGCAGAGGGUGGUGGAAUUUCCUGUGUAGCGGUGAAAUGCGUAGAUAUAGGCAGGAACGCCAGUGGCGACGGCGACCACCUGGGCUCAUACUGACACUGAGGUGCGAAAGCGUGGGGAGCAAACAGG